rnacentral:rRNA from 1 species
CCGCCCCGAAUUGUAGUCUAGAAAGGCGCCAUCGGCCGCGUCCGUCGCUUAAGUUCCUUGGAAUAGGAGAGACGGAGAAGGUGAGAUCCCUGUACCGUGGCGGAACGCGGCCGCACGAUGCGCCCUUGCAGAGUCGGGUUGCUUGGGAUUGCAGCUUGAAGUGGGUGGUAAAUUCCAUCUAAAGCUAAAUACUGGCUCAUGACCGAUAGCGAACAAGUACCGUGAGGGAAAGAUGCAAAGAACUUUGAAAAGAGAGUUAAAGAGUGCUUGAAAUCGGCGAGAGGAAACCCGUUUGUGCCCGGUUUCGCGCGUACAUUUUAGCCGUCUCGAAGCGGUGUACUGUGUGCGUGCGGGGUCCUGCGCGACUGCUUGUGCGUUAUAAUCACCAGGGAUGGCUUCGGCGAGCCUGGACAUGACGCGCUCGCGGUCCCGCCGGACGGAACGGGCACAACCGACCCGUCUAGAAACACGGACCAAGGAGUCUGACACGGAUGCGAGUACCCGGGUGGCAAGCCCGCGUGCGCAAUGAAAGUGAAGGGCGUGCCCCGCCAACCGACCUUGAUCUUCUGUGAAGGGUUUGAGUCGAGCAUCACUGUCGGGACCCGAAAGAUGGUGAACUAUGCCUGAGGAGGUUGAAGUCUGCCGAAAGGCAGAUGGAGGACCGUAGCGAUACUGACGUGCAAAUCGUUCGUCGAACUUGGGCAUAGGGGCGAAAGACUAAUCGAACCAUCUAGUAGCUGGUUCCCUCCGAAGUUUCCCUCAGGAUAGCUUGGACGCAAGGGUUUUGU